rnacentral:lncRNA from 1 species
AAACUGUGGACAUGCCAAUACACAUUACUGACAUGUAUGCCCACCUGACCUGCACCCACUCUGCAGGGCAGCGCUCGCCAUUGAAUGACUUCUAGGUGCUCCGGGGCACAGAGCUACAGCGCCGCUACAAGCGGUGGUGCCCGGGCCUUGGCAGGAGGAUGUGGCAGAUGCUGAAGAGUGUGCUGGUCGCUGUGGGCCCUUAAUGGACUGCCGGGCGUUCCACUACAAUGUGAGCAGCCAUGGUUGCCAACUGCUGCCAUGGACUCAACACUCACCCCACACGAGGCUGCGGCAUUCUGGGCGCUGUGACCUCUUCCAGGAGAAAGGCGAGUGGGGGUGGAGAGGGGCAGGGUGGGAGACAGGGGACCUCAGCCCAAGUUGAUCUUCUGUCUCUUGCUCCCAGACUACAUACGGACCUGCAUCAUGAACAAUGGGGUUGGGUACCGGGGCACCAUGGCCACGACCGUGGGUGGCCUGUCCUGCCAGGCUUGGAGCCACAAGUUCCCGAACGAUCACCAGUACAUGCCCACGCUCCGGAAUGGCCUGGAAGAGAACUUCUGCCGUAACCCUGAUGGCGACCCCGGAG